ensembl:snRNA U2 U2 spliceosomal RNA
AUCGCUUCUCGGCCUUUUGGCUAAGAUCAAGUGUAGUAUCUUUCUUUCUUUCUUCUUUAGAUUUAUUUAUUUCUGUUGGGAAAACAGAUCAGAUUUACAGAGAGAAGGAGAGACAGAGAGAAAAAGAUCUUGCACCUGCUGGUUCACUCCCUAAAUAUCACACUGGCUGGAACUGAGCUGAUCUGAAUCCAG